UAUCGACAACAUACAUGCGCACUCGAGAUCAGAGCGCCGAGCAAGUGUCAUCCUCUUCCAAGUGUGCAAAUAUCGAAGGACCAUCAUCAUCACAAGCGACCAUGUCCAGCGAGACUGCACCACUUGUCAUCCGUGUGGGCUCACGGGCGACCAGGACAGUCCACAUCAGCCAAGAGAAUGUCAACACCUUCGGCGACGUCAUUGACGACCACAACCCCAUUCACAGUGACCCGGAGGUGGCUAAGGCGGCGGGGUUUCCCACCACUAUUUGCUACGGCAUGUACGCCGGCUCGCUCUUCUCCGGUCUCAUGGCGAAGGAGAUGCCCGGCCCUGGCACUGUGUAUCUGUCACAGAACUUGCGCUUCACCGCCCCGGUGUUCGUCGGCGACGACCUCGAUGUCAUCGUGGAAGUCCGAGAGUUCCGCAAGGAUAAGGGUCUCAUCUCUCUCUCCAACAUCGUACAAAAGACGGACCCCUCGACCGGCAAGACAACCGUGUGCGUUGAAGGGUCUGCCGUGGUCAUGAACAAGACUCUGCCGUUUGAGGGGGAGAGUGAGUGGUCUGUGACGAAGUAGAGAGGAGGAGAGCAGCGAAUGAUUGGGGCGGCGGUGGAGGUGGUGACGGUGGUGGCAGGGGGGGGGAUAAGUGAGUGAGCAACAAGGAAGGCGCCUGCAGUAAAGGUCGCCUGCACUUUUGGGGGCCCAAAGGACGCGCACAUGCAAACAGCACACAAGUUCUUCAUCCCCUGCUCCACCCCUCCCCCGGGGCUCUCCAGCACACAAUCUACGAACUACUUUUUCAUGUAUUCUUGUCGGACUCGUCUGUCUCACAACUUGCAGAGCCGCCCUCCCCACUUCCCCCACAAUGCUGAGGGAAGAGGAAGAAGGGAGAGGGAAGGGCACAAAAGGCGCAAGGGGGUGCGGCAGCGUGGUUUUAAGCGUGUCAAAUGCACGGCUUUCUCUCUCUCUGUCCCUUUCUUUGUGUGCGUAUGUGUGUCUUCUCUCCCUCUCACCAUAGUUUUUUGCCUUUCGAUUCGUGGAGUGGUCCAGG
rnacentral:misc_RNA from 1 species